UACGAGGGGGGCAAGCGUUGUUCGGAAUUAUUGGGCGUAAAGGGCGCGUAGGCGGUGCGGUAAGUCUGAUGUGAAAUCUCCGGGCUCAACUCGGAGUCUGCAUCAGAAACUGCCGUGCUCGAGUGUGGGAGAGGUGAGUGGAAUUCCCGGUGUAGCGGUGAAAUGCGCAGAUAUCGGGAAGAACACCCGUGGCGAAGGCGGCACUCUGGGACGGUACUGACGCUGAGACGCGAAAGCGUGGGGAGCGAACAGG
rnacentral:rRNA from 1 species